rnacentral:rRNA from 1 species
UCGGUAUUAUUGGGCGUAAGCGCAGCGCAGGCGGUCUUCUUAAGUCUGAUGUGAAAGCCUUCGGCUCAACCGAAGAAGUGCAUCGGAAACUGGGAAACUUGAGUGCAGAAGAGGAGGGUGGAACUCCAUGUGUAGCGGUGAAAUGCGUAGAUAUAUGGAAGAACACCAGUGGCGAAGGCGGCUGUCUGGUCUGUAACUGACGCUGAGGCUCGAAAGCGUGGGUAGCAAACAGGAUUAGAUACCCUGGUAGUCCAUGCCGUAAACGAUGAGUGCUAGGUGUUGGAGGGUUUCCGCCCUUCAUUGCCGCAGCUAACGCAUUAAGCACUCCGCCUGGGGAGUACGACCGCAAGGUUGAAACUCAAAGGAAUUGACGGGGGCCCGCACAAGCGGUGAAGCAUGUGGUUUAUUUCGAAGCAACGCGAAGAACCUUACCAGGUCUUGACAUCCUUUGACCACUCUAGAGAUAGAGCUUUCCCUUCGGGGACAAAGUGACAGGUGGUGCAUGGUUGUCGUCAGCUCGUGUCGUGAGAUGUUGGGUUAAGUCCCGCAACGAGCGCAACCCUUAUUACUAGUUGCCAGCAUUUAGUUGUGGCACUCUAGUGAGACUGCCGGUGACAAACCGGAGGAAGGUGGGGACGACGUCAAAUCAU